UCCCGUUGAUCCUGCGGGAGAUCGCUGCUAUGAGAAUCCGAUUAAGCCAUGCAAGUCUGGUAGUAAUACCGGCAAACUGCUCAGUAACACGUCGGUAACCUGCCCUUAGGUCGGGAAUAAGCUCGGGAAACUGAGUGUAAAACCUGAUAGGGAAAAAUACCUGGAACGGUCUUUUCCUGAAACUCGUGCCUAAGGAUGGGCCGGCGGCUGAUUAGGCUGUUGGUGGGGUAACGGCCCACCAAACCGAAGAUCAGUAUGGGCCAUGAGAGUGGUAGCCCAGAGAGGGAACCUGAGACACUGUUCCCAGCCCUACGGGGUGCAGCAGGCGCGAAACCUUUACAAUGCACGCAAGUGUGAUAAGGGGAUUCUCAGUGCUUAUGCAUUGCAUGAGCUUUUGCCAAAGGUAAACUCUUUGGCGAAUAAGUGGUGGGUAAGACUGGUGCCAGCCGCCGCGGUAACACCAGCGCCACGAGUGGGGAUCGCGAUUAUUGGGCCUAAAGCGUCCGUAGCCUGCUUUGUAAGUCCUUUGUGAAAUCGUUGGGCUAAACUCAACGACGUGCAGAGGAUACUGCAAAGCUCGAGACCGGGAGGGGCUGGAGGUAUUCUGUGGGGAGCGGUAAAAUGCUAUAAUCCACGGAGGACCACCGAUGGCGAAGGCAUCAGCCAGAACGGAUCUGACGGUGAGGGACGAAAGCCAGGGGAGCGAACCGGAUUAGAUACCCGAGUAGUCCUGGCCGUAAACGCUGUGUGCUAGGUGUUGCGUAAUCUACGGGAUUGCGCAGUGUCGAAACGAAGGUGCUAAGCACACCGCCUGGGAAGUACGGUCGCAAGGCUGAAACUUAAAGGAAUUGGCGGGGGCGCACCACAAGGGGUGCGGCGUGCGGUUCAAUCUAACUUAACGCAGAAAAUCUCACCAGAGCCGACGGCAGGAUGAAGGUCAACCUGAAGGGUUUGCCUGACGAGCCGAGAGGUGUUGCAUGGCCGUCGUCAGCUCGUGCCGUAAGGUGUCCACUUAAGUGUGGCAACGAGCGAGACCCGCAUCUUCAGUUGCUAACAGCUGCUUGCAGGACUGAGCACACUGAGGAGACUGCCUGGGUAACCAGGAGGAGGGUGCGGGCAACGGUAGGUCUGUAUGGCCCGAAUGCUCUGGGCUACACGCGCGCAACAAUGAUUGGGACAAUGGGAUGCAACUCCGAAAGGAGAAGCUAAUCCUCUAAACCCUAUCCUAGUACGGAUCGAGGCUUGUAACUCAGCCUCGUGACGCCGGAAUCCCUAGUAAUCGGAUUUAAUCAUAGUCCGGUGAAUAUGUCCCUGCGCCUUGUACACACCGCCCGUCAAGUCACCCGAGCAGGGUCUAGGUAAAGCAUUGCUUAUUGGUAAUGAUGAACCUAGGCUCAGUGAGGUGGACUAAGUAAGUCACAAGGUA
rnacentral:rRNA from 1 species